AUUGAACGCUGGCGGCAUGCUUUACACAUGUAAGUCGAACGGCAGCACGGGUGCUUGCACCUGGUGGCGAGUGGCGAACGGGUGAGUAAUGCAUCGGAACGUAUCCAAUAAUGGGGGAUAACGCACCGAAAGGUGUGCUAAUACCGCAUACGCCCUGAGGGGGAAAGUGUGGGACCGUAAGGCCUCACGUUAAUGGAGCGGCCGAUGCCUGAUUAGCUAGUUGGUGAGGUAAAGGCUCACCAAGGCGACGAUCAGUAGCUGGUCUGAGAGGACGACCAGCCACACUGGGACUGAGACACUGCCCAGACUCCUACGGGAGGCAGCAGUGGGGAAUUUUGGACAAUGGGCGCAAGCCUGAUCCAGCCAUGCCGCGUGAGUGAAGAAGGCCUUCGGGUUGUAAAGCUCUUUUGGCAGGAACGAAACGGUGCGGGCGAAUACCCUGUGCUAAUGACGGUACCUGCAGAAUAAGCACCGGCUAACUACGUGCCAGCCGCCGCGGUAAAAC
rnacentral:rRNA from 1 species